AGCAGCCGCGGUAAUUCCAGCUCCAAUAGCGUAUAUUAAAGUUGUUGCAGUUAAAAAGCUCGUAGUUGAAUUUCGGGAUCAAUUGAUUGGUCAUGCCUUGGUAUGAACUGGUCAUAUUGGUUCUCACCUUCUAAUGAACCAUAAUGUCAUUCACUUGAUGUUAUGGGGAAUUAGGACUGUUACCUUGAAAAAAUUAGAGUGUUUAAAGCAGGCUUACGCUUGAAUACAUUAGCAUGGAAUAAUGAAAUAGGACAUCGCAUUCUAUUUUGUUGGUUUCUAGGAUCGAUGUAAUGAUUAAUAGGGAUAGUUGGGGGCAUUAGUAUUCAAUUGUCAGAGGUGAAAUUCUUGGAUUUAUUGAAGACUAACUACUGCGAAAGCAUUUGCCAAGGAUGUUUUCAUUAAUCAAGAACGAAAGUUAGGGGAUCGAAGACGAUCAGAUACCGUCGUAGUCUUAACCAUAAACUAUAGCCGACUAGGGAUCGGAUGAUGUUAAUUUUAAAUGAC
rnacentral:sRNA from 1 species